GAAAGCAAGCUUCCACGAACUGCAUGUCAAUGAAGAGAUAUGUGAAAAAACACCUUGAGGACUGAUUCCAAACAACGUUUGCCAUGUUUCGGUCGAUAUUAUGUAGUUAAUCCGGAAAAAGUUUUACGUUGUAGGUGACUGCAUUUUCGGUUCGUUUCAGUAGCCAGGCGCAAUGUAGAAAACGGAACGAUUUCUCCUACACACAGACGCUUUCAGGAAACACUGCGCAUUUGGCAUGUGACUGAGAGUCUCCUCAUUGAAAACAUCAGAAGCUCUUCAAAGAAGGAUCUUUCAGCAAGACAACAAGGGAGGAGGCUUGAUGAUGUUGACUGACACAAGGGUGUGUUAAAAGGAGGAGGAGAGCAGAUCCUCUUCAUAAACACUCCAGCUACAGUACUUCUCCACCUGUCUGCUCAUCAAAACCAAACAAGCCUUGCAGAGAGAGGAGGAGCCAUAGAGUGUAACGGCUGUUGGAAGGAGAGGACCAAGAUGCAGCGUGACAAACACCUUGAGGACCCUUCUGCAUCUUUUCAGUGGCUAUGUGGCUCCCAACAGUGUAGGCAGUGUUUCUGGGUGCAGCCCCUGACCUCUUCUUCAGCCAGCAGUCCUUGGAUGAGUCCUUCAGUGACACAAGAGCAGUUGAACCAUCUCACUGCUCACAGGGAUUCAUGGUUGACAAAUACUUUAGUGGGAACAACAUUCUGAUGGCAUAUGAACGGGACCACCAUCAUUGCCAGCUUGCCUGUACUCAGAACCCUGGGUGUUCCUACUUCAGCUACGUGGUUAAAGAAUUCUACUGCUUUCAAAAGUAUUCCUUUGGUCAACCAACUUUGACAAACAAUCCAGGAAUCAUAUCUGGCUACACUAGGAAGGGCUGCAGUGAAGUGUAUUUAACAGGUGACAUCAAUAAGGGAUCAUAUCUUUCACCUGGAUUCACCUGAUCAGUCUCUCAUGGAAAAGCCCAGCAGUUGAGAUACCAGUGUUUACUCUGGGUAGUGAGGGGAGGAGCCACCAUCUUCAAUGCUGAGGACCAAAUAGCAGCUCUGAGAACAGUGUCAGCACAGAGCCUCACUGACGCUGUCUGGGUCCACUGCCAAUACUGGGCUAUUUGAAUACACCAAAUGCAAAGUGUGUUGUUCAGGGACGAAGUGCAAAGGCACACAAUCAAACUCAGAGCUUAAAUGUUACAUGGGUCCAGGUUCAUUGACAUGGGAACGGGCACAGACUGUUUGCCGAGACAAGGGAGAUGACUUAGAGAGCAUCCUCACCCAAGAGGAUUACACAACAUUCCAAAGCAUAACAGAAACACAGCAGUAUGAUGUGGAUUGGACUCUACUGGAAGACUUCUACCAGAAUAUAGCACUGGUCCAAUGGGGACCUCUUCCCAUACUGUGUGUCUGAGCCUCAACUGGGUGCUAGUAACUGCUGCUCCCUGACCCGUCAGGGCCAUGGACAGACUGAACACGCCUCCCUGGACAAGAUAGACUGCUCUCUGAAGAGUUUCUUUCCACUUUUAUUGAAUAGAGAGAGGAAAAGACAGGCAGAGGUUGUGUCAAAGGGCACUAGACUGGAUUCAAACCUAUUCUGACACUAUAGACAUGUGUUACAGAGGCUGUGGCAUUACCACUAGACCAUACAGACCACAAGAUUGAUAUCUUAUUGGGGUUAUUGUGGGUAAGACAGGGACAGCAUUUUAGCCCCAAUAGUGUCCCAUUGCAGCAAGAACAUGUCGGACACAGAGAUGGUACAGUUAGCCUUCUCCAGCCACAUUUCUCUCCCCACCUUCCAAAUAAACAGUGCCUUCCGAAAGUAAUCAGACCCGUUUUCUUUUUCCACAUUUUGUUAGGUUACAGCCUUAUUCUAAAAUUGAUUAUUUGUUUUUUCCCCCUCAUCAAUGGCCACACAAUACCCCAUAAUGACAAAGAAAAAACAGGAUUAUAUAAAUGUUAGCAAAUGCAUAAGAAAAACUGAAAUAUCACAUUUACAUAAGUAUUCGCACCUUUACUCAGUACUUUGUUGAUGUACCUUUGGCAGCAAUUACAGCCUCAAGUCUUCUUGGGUUUGACGCUGCAAGCUUGGCACACCUGUAUUUCGGGAGUUUCUCCCAUUCUUCUCUGCAGAUCCUCUCAAGCUCUGUCAGAUUGGAUGGGGAGCGUGGCUGCACAGCUAUUAUCAGGUCUUUCCAGAGAUGUUCGAUCAGAUUCAAGUCCGGGCUCUGGCUGAGCCACUCAAGAACAUUCAGAUACUUUUUUAAAAGGGGUGGAUCAGCUUAAUAUUGCGGAAAGAAUAUUGGUUCCAUCAAUGUAAUUGUCUGCAUCAUUUCCAAUCCCCCAUAUAUUUUUGGGUAAAUAUAUAUAUAUCCAUACAUGCAUGCAUACAUAUACACAUAUAU